rnacentral:rRNA from 1 species
UUCUUUCUUUAGGUUAAUAAAUGAAUUUAAUUUUUUAGUUAAAAAGCUAAAAUUUUUUAGUGGGACGAGAAGACCCUAUAGAUCUUUACUAUAAUUAGAAUUGAUUAGUUUGGAAGUUUAAUUGAUUAARUYUUAGUUAUAGUUUAAUUGGGGUGAUUGCAGAAUUUUUCUAACUUCUGYUUUAAAAUUUCAUUGAUGUAUGAUUUUUUGAUCCAGUAAUACUGAUUAUAARAUUAAGUUACCUUA